CGGUUUCCCCCUGCCCGUUGUCCGGGGUUUUAAUAUUCCUGUCACGUCCUCAGUGCAGCUACGGCUGGGAGGGAUGGAAGCCGUGGGGGAAAGUUCCGGGCGACAUCCUCGCAAGGCCGCGGGAGGCAGGGAGGCGUCUCACGCCCAUCUGUCCUGCCUGGACAUCCCCGGCCGGACUCAGCUCAGCUUGGCCGAAAACACACUGAAACCGGAGAUGGCUGUGAAUUUCUCAGUUCCUAUCGGCCCAAAGCUGAAAAGAGGCAGAUGAAAGGCGUCCUGGACCUGUGGACUGCUGCUGUGCCUUCCGAGGGAUGGACUUCCAGCUUUUAGCCACAUGUAUGAAAGGGGCUGUUUCCAUCUGCUGACCUGUCAGGCUCCCCCUCUCCCGAGCUUCUUUCCUCCCUCCUUGGAGUUUCUUCAAUAAAACAUUUCACUCCCUUGAAAA